rnacentral:rRNA from 1 species
UACGAAGGGUGCAAGCGUUACUCGGAAUUACUGGGCGUAAAGCGUGCGUAGGUGGUUUGUUAAGUCUGAUGUGAAAGCCCUGGGCUCAACCUGGGAAUUGCAUUGGAUACUGGCAGGCUAGAGUGCGGUAGAGGAUGGCGGAAUUCCCGGUGUAGCAGUGAAAUGCGUAGAGAUGUGGAGGAACACCGAUGGCGAAGGCAGCCUCCUGGGCCAACACUGACGCUCAUGCACGAAAGCGUGGGGAGCAAACAGG